UACGUAGGGGACAAGCGUUGUCCGGAUUUACUGGGCGCAAAGAGCGCGCAGGCGGUCGUUCAAGUCGGGUGUGAAAGCCCCCGGCUCAACUGGGGAGGGUCAUUCGAUACUGAUCGACUCGAAGGCAGGAGAGGGUAGUGGAAUUCCCGGUGUAGUGGUGAAAUGCGUAGAUAUCGGGAGGAACACCAGUGGCGAAGGCGCCUACCUGGCCUGUUCUUGACGCUGAGGCGCGAAAGCUAGGGGAGC
rnacentral:rRNA from 1 species